rnacentral:rRNA from 1 species
AGUGAACGCUGGCGGUAGGCCUAGCACAUGCAAGUCGAACGGCAGCACAGUAAGAGCUUGCUCUUACGGGUGGCGAGUGGCGGACGGGUGAGGAAUACAUCGGAAUCUACUUUUUCGUGGGGGAUAACGUAGGGAAACUUACGCUAAUACCGCAUACGACCUACGGGUGAAAGCAGGGGAUCUUCGGACCUUGCGCGAUUGAAUGAGCCGAUGUCGGAUUAGCUAGUUGGCGGGGUAAAGGCCCACCAAGGCGACGAUCCGUAGCCGGUCUGAGAGGAUGAUCGGCCACACUGGAACUGAGACACGGUCCAGACUCCUACGGGAGGCAGCAGUGGGGAAUAUUGGACAAUGGGCGCAAGCCUGAUCCAGCCAUACCGCGUGGGUGAAGAAGGCCUUCGGGUUGUAAAGCCCUUUUGUUGGGAAAGAAAAGCAGCAGGUUAAUACCCCGCUGUUCUGACGGUACCCAAAGAAUAAGCACCGGCUAACUUCGUG